AGCGUCAACAGAACGGCAUGUCAUGGAGAAGCAGCAGCAGCAGUAACAAGCGAGGGUGCGUGGGUGAACGGAGAGUCAAAAUAAUGUGAUGAGUGCCUCUACUGGAGGAGGAAUGAGAGGUGAAGAAUGAAGAGCGGAGCAGCUCCACAGCUGACGGAGCCGCCUGUCCUUCAGCUCGCUGCACCUCGACUGCUCGGGCUUCAACACCUCCAGCAGCCUCUCGCUUGGCCGAACUCCAAGUGCCGCCAAGGCUGAGAUGUUUGCUGCCUUGACAAAGCCUCGGGGCAUCGGAGCAAAUCCAGCCUGUUCUGGACUUUCCCUAAUCAGCCGCUGUCCAUCAUGGCUGCCCCCGCUCUACUGCUGCUGAGUCCGUUGAUCUGGAGAACAGCUCAAGAGAAACCCAGACACGAGGGCAGAAGUAAAGAUUUUGGAAGUCACCUUGGCUCAAGCCAGCAGGCUUUAACUUCCUGUUUCCCAUCCAACACCGUCUAUUUUGCAUAGUAUUUUCAUAUAUUUUCCAUUAAUGGACUGGACUUCAUUCAUAUGCUCUAUUCAGCAUUUCUAUUUAGUGCAACUGCCCAUAAGAAAGGUACCCUGCACUCUCACCCAUGCAUUUCAAGAUUAAGCCUUCUGAGCUUCCUGCUCUCUA